UGGGGUGUAGCUUAGUGGUAGUUAGCACUUGCCCAGCUUGCUCAAGGCCCUGGGUUCCAUCCCCAGCACCUCAA
rnacentral:tRNA from 1 species